AGUGAAAGAUCGCAGUGGAAAAUAUUCUUCUUUUUCUUUUGUUCAUUAGAGGAGUCGUCUUUUUUCAACUAAACGUGAUUUUUUUUAGGCUGUUUUAUUUUGAUAAAAUUGUCCAUUAAGUUGUUUGUUUCGUAAAUUUCAAUGUGCUUUCAACGUGUAUUCUAAAUCAAAAUCUAAAAAAGAUUUCAUAAAAGUCAUGUGUCUUUUUACAGUUUACCUCAGUUAUUAAAAUCUUCUUCCUCAAUAAUUUGCACUUUGAAAUAUAAAAGACACGUUACCUAAGAAAAACAUAUUCAUUUCAUUGCUCAUCAUGUCGAUGUCAACCUGUUGUGACGUCCUUGGCCUCGUGUUGGGGGAGGGGGACUCUGGGGGGGGCUUUGCGUGCAGAUAUAAAUGUGGAGAGCCGGGUUCAUGGCGUUCGCCGCGGGUUGAAGAAGACUUCGAUGAUCCCCGAGGUUUUUAGUGAGGAAACGCGGAGUGACAACCGGAGUCAGGAGGCCCGGCAGAACGCAGACGCUACGAGGCCCCCCAUAACGGCUCGGACGAAAUCAAGAAGAAACCAAGAGGCUUUGGGGGGGCUUUGUUUUGGCAAGAGGGAGGAAAAGAGAGUUCCUUAAACCUAGUUUAUGCUUCUGCGUUUUCAGAGAGACGCAGGGACACGUAGACGCAAGAGCCCCUUGCGUGUCCCUUGUGUGUCCUUUGCGUGUCCCUUGCGUGUCCCUUGUGUGUCCUUUGCGUGUCCCUUGCGUGCCCCUUCACACCCCCUUGCGUCCACCCAUUUUUCUAGACCAGGGUCGUAAAGCGACUCAGCGUCCUGCAGCAGCAGGCUGUGAUUGGUCUCUGACUACGUCCUUCACGUAGUCUCACGUCUCCGUUUUCACAGCACAAUACGGCCGUUAUUAAAAGGAAGAACGUUUACGAGAGAACGGAUCAGAUUGAAGAGCUUUUAAAUAUGAGCGCUUGUACAAGCCGUCAUUGGCGGACUAUGAGGACGCCGGAUGGCCUCUGAUUCAUGGAGGGAGAUCUCCACAAACGAGGGGAACAAAGUUGUGGAGGAAAAUACGGGACAAAUGUGUCCUUGAUGAAAAGCAGCAGUGUGGAUGCACGGGGCAAUAAAGUCUAUGAUCAAUAAAUAAAGCAACCAGCGACUUCCACACACAAAGACGUGACUCUCUAGGUCGUCUUCAACAAAACACGUGACUCCACCUGUUGUUCUGGAGGUGAAUCGCUCUGCAACACACGCAGGACUUUACAACCAGGAAGUGAAACCAGUGCGUAAAGACGCAACGUAAAGACGCAGACGCCAGCCUUUAUUCUCCAUUUGAAAUGUGAACAGAUCAGGGACCUUAGAAAAAAAAGAAGAGGACCUAGUCGUCAUGGAGACGUCACUCGUCAGUUUGUGGACUUUUUAAAAUUUCAUUGUCAUUAUUCCUUUUUUUGAACGGGAAGUGACCAUAUUUGGACUGAGGAGGACGGCAUAUACGCCUCUAGUAGAGACCUGUCAAUCACAGUGUUGCCCCGCCCUAAAGAAGCCCCCACUUCAUGGUCUACUAGAAGGUCAUGCGACUCCCAAACAGAUGUCAAGCGGUUCUCCUCAAUGUGAAACAGGACUAAUUAGAGACCCUUUUGGGAGAAGGUCUGCAGCUAUUGAACUUUGACUUCCUGUCAGUAGGAGGGCGUUUGUGCAAGGAAAGUUUCCACUGAUUUUAUUUACUUUACAGUUUUGCACUUUAGGAGACACAAAUUCAGUGUGUUUAACAUUUUUGGAGACUGGUCCUGCAGGUUUACUUAUUUUAGCUAAAUAAUUACUUCUUCUCCACAAUAAUAGAAAGAGGAACAAUGUGUGAAUCCACAUCUUCUGAGAGAAAGGAAAACAUCACGGCUAAUCUUUUAAAACAUUCUACGCAGAGAAUAAACAUGAAUUAGUAAAUGAAAAUACAAAUAUAGAAAAAAAGGAAGGUUGGAUUAAAAUUUUUGUUAAAAAGAAUUAAAAUGAAAUAAUGUAUGUCACAAUUUAUUAGACAUCAUUAAUUAAACGUAAUGUAAGACAAACCAAAGAGACAAUAAUAAACAAAGGCAUUUUGUUACCAGAUGAGUAUUAUAAGUAAUACAGGAGGAGGAACAAGCAGUUUAUCACAUGCAGAGCGGAGAGUGCGGGUCGGGAUGUCAGGUUGGACCAGGUCCUGGAUGUAAGCUGGACCCCAUCCAUUCACAGCACGGUACCUGAGCACCAUGUUUAGAACUGGAUGAGCCACCGGUACCAGUGAAGAGAGCAGAGGAGUGGAGGAGUGAGGGAGAACUUAGGAAGCUUAAAGACCAGUGGAGCUGCUGCAUUCUGGAUGAGCUGCAGAGGUGGAAUGGUGGUAGCAGGAGACCUGCAGGAGAGAGUCACAGUAGUCCAGGAGGGAGAAGAGCCUGAAUCAGUACCCGGGCAGCCUUCUGAGUGAGAAGAGGACGUGUUCUCCUGUUGUUGUAGAGCGUGUAUCUGCAGGAUCGUGUUGUCAGUGAUGUUGGGAGUCAGGGAUGUUAUAAUGCGGUGCUUAAUCAUAAACACGAGGACACUCUUCCAGGUCUCACCUCACUGGGUUGUAAACUUUAAUACAUUUUCACGUCGCGUGUACGGUCCAUCUUGCUCGGUCUGGUUACAAGGCAGUGUUUCACAAUAACAGUCCGUGUGACUCACGGAACUAAACAAUAGUUCCUACUUAUAGUUCCUAUUGUUACAAGGGAGAGUCGGCUGUCAAGUGUCACACCGAGGUUCCCAUCACGGAACAAUGUAUAAUUAUGUUCAUUAACUCAUUAACAUCAUGUUAAAUAAAGGCUACACAAAGGUCAAGUGUAGGACUUGGAGUCUCCGUACUGCCUGAAGAUGGUUUUGUCUUCUUUGUCUUUCAUAAUCCUUGUUACGUUUCCACCUCAGUUGGAGCUCAAUGGAGGUGGGGAACGUAAACGCCUGUGCUUACGCACCCAGUGUAACCAGCGGUGGACGGUGAAGUAGUGUGGGGUGCAGCUGACCAAAAAUAAAGAGGCAUGACACCCGAAACUCACUUUUGGUUCUUGUGGGACAUUUAGUAAAACAAAAAGACAAAACACAAGAAAGUACACACACAACCCAGGAAGGGAGGAAAAGGGUGUCAUGCCUCUUCAUUUUUGGUCAGCUGCACCAUUUUCUGAGGCAUUUCUUGCGUUCGUAAUUACGCACACGUCGCCUGGGUAGCAUGCUUGACUUAAUUAACUCUGUGCUUGCUCCUAUGUGGACUGGAGAAGAAGUCCCGUGUUCUACAUUUGUGAUCCCAGGAAGUUCAGAGAAGGCUGCUGGUGAGAUAGAAAAGACAAUGGUCUCCUCUGGUGACGGUUGAAGAGUGCUAUUGACUAGGCGUAUCGAAGCUAAUAGCUUCUCCCUAGCCAAGGAUCUGAGUUUAGCUAAAUGUUUUGCCUCGGUUGUGAAGUUGGAGAAAACCACUAAGACAGAUGUGAAAUAUUACAUUGAGGACGGUCUACUAAUGAGAAUAUGGACUCCCAGUAUGGACCCAGGGAAGGAUUGGAGUUCGGUUUUGCAGAUUGUAGUUCCAGCCUUGUUUCGGACAAAUGUAAUGUCUUUAGCUCAUGAUAUUCCCUGGUCUGGUCAUUUAGGGGUGACUAAAACGUAUAAUCGGCUCCUCCGUCAUUUCUUUUGGCCGGGAAUGAAACAGGAUGUUGCUUGUUUCUGCCGUACAUGUAGUACGUGCCAAGUGGUAGAGAAGCCUAACCAGGUAGUUUCCCCCGGCUCCUCUAUGUCCGAUUCCGGUGAUGGGAGAGCAGUUUGAGAAGGUGUUAAUUGAUUGUGUUGGUCCCUUACCACGGACUAAGUCCGUAAAUCAAUUCAUGCUUACAAUAAUGUGUACUGCUACUAGGUACCCUGAAGCAAUUCCUAUGCGUACAGUCACCAGUAAGGCAGUGGUGAAAGACGUGAUUAAGUAUUUCUCUACUUUCGGGUUCCCCAAAAACCAUAUAAACGGAUCAAGGAACAAAUUUUACAUCUAAAUUGUUUGAGGGAGUGUUGAAGACCUUGUCGGUGACCCAUCAGUUGUCUAGUGCUUGCCACUCGGAGAGUCAGGGUGCGCUGGAACGUUGGCAUCAGACCCUAAAGGCCAUGUUAAGUAAAUACUGCAAGGACACGGAGAAGGAUUGGGAUGAAGGGAUUCCAUAUGUGCUGUUUGCUAUUCGGGAGACUGUGCAAGAGUCUCUUGGGUUUAGCCCCGCUGAGCUAGUCUUUGGUUACACGGUGAGAGGCCCUCUAAAGAUACUGAAAGAACAAAGUAUGGCUAGGGAUACAACGGGGUCUUCUACUAACAUUCUGGACUAUGUAAGUCAAGUCCGAGAAACGUCACAUUGACAUGAUUAAAGCAUAUCAGGUUAGAGAUGGUUCCAAAUCUGUUACAAGUACAAUUCCGGUGGUUGCCUCUGUUGUCGCUGUUAACCUGGUUACCCAACCUGGAGUCUGGGUAACUGAUGAGGACAGUUUGGUGAUGCAAAAUACUCCAGAGCAGUGUGCUCGUUUGGGUAAUUCUGAGAUGUUGGCAUCUCUUCCCUCACAUUUGGCGGAUUUGAGUGAUCAGCAGAGUCCUGAUAUAAAGUUACUAAUUUCUGAGUCUUAUUAAUGUGUUGAAACACGAUAUAAAGGUAAGCGAUGAUGCGCCAAUCAAACAAACGUAUCGUGUUAAUUUAAGUCAGAGAUCAGUAAUGAACGCCGAGGUAAAUUAUUUAAUAAAAAAUGGAAUGGCAGUCCCCAGUAGCAGUCCCUGAUUGCUGAUUCCAAAGCCAGACGGGACACACAUGUUUUGCACGGACUACCGUAAUGUGAAUAAGGUUACGAUCCCUGACUCAUUUCCUUUACCUCCCAUGGAUGUUUGUAUCGACACCAUUGGAUCAGCUGCUCAUGUCACUAACUUGAUUUGUUAAAAGCAGAGGUGUCAAAAGUAUUCACAUUCAUUACUCAAGUAGAAGUACAGAUACUAGGGUUUAAAAAGACUCCUGUAGAAGUUGAAGUAAGUUGAGUACCAACUCAAGCUUUUUACUUAAGUAAAAGUAUAAAAGUACUGGUUUCAAAACUACUUAAAGUAUAAAAGUAAAAGUAAUGUAAGAAAUUCCAUUAAGGACAAACUCUUAAUGCGUAACCUCGCUCACACAACACGUCAGUCCGUUACAAUAUGAUCAGAAGGUGCCUGCAGAUCACGUGACCUGCCGUUGAGAUGAUGGAAACAUGGCGACAUUCAGAGACACAACAAAACAACACGUGUAUCUGACUUAAACAGAUAAAACCACAACCCAUUUUCCAGUGACACGAGUCACACACGUUGUUCGCAUUGAUUAGGUAGACUGCAAUGUUUCCCCCAGGUUUACUACGUCAUGGGGGGGUGGGGGGCGCACCCCUGUUUAUAAUGAUGGAAACACUGAACUGGCAGCGGUCGGUUAUCAAAACAUUGGCCAAAUAACCAGAAUGUUCAGGCUUUAUGAGAAAAUACAGAAUCCCUUUGUGUUCAUUUGCAAAGCCACGUUAAGACACACAUCACUUUAUUUAAUACGCUGCACUACUUGCAAGUCGCUGUGUUGUGCCAGACUCUCAAUAAAACAUUUAGGACAAACCCACAGUCAUGAAGAUACUCAUUUAACGUUACAUGGAAUCUGCAUGAGGAAGAGGAGGAGGAAGAGGAGCAGGGUCCAUGUCGCUAAAUACCAACUUUCCACCGACCACUUUUCUCACCCGGUGUCGCUCCGAUCUGCUGGCGCAUCGCGGAGAAAACCAAUCGGGUGUCUGGAUGCUAAAUGUUUAUACUUCUCAUCCUAACAAAAUCAAAUGCACUCUGUCCGGAUAGCGUGAUUAAUCUGAAUAGGUUGUUUUUGUGUUUGUGUUUUUGAACUACGACAAGCCGGAAGUAACGAGACUGUCUUUAAAAUGUAAGGAGUAGAAAGUACAGAUAUUUGCGUGAAAAUGUAAGGAGUAGAAGUAAAAAGUUGUCUGAAAAAUAAAUACUCCAGUAAAGUAUAGAUACCCAAAAUUUCUACUUAAGUACAGUAACAAAGUAUUUGUACUUUGUGACCUGACACCUCUGGUUAAAAGGGUAUUGGCAGGUACCUUGAACCCCUCGGGCCUCUGAGGUGUCGGCUUUUGUAACCCUGGACAGUUUCUGCCAGUACACGGUGAUGGCGUUUGGAAUGAGGAACGCCCCAGCCACGUUUCAACGGUUGGUAAAUAUCGUAUUGUCGGAUAUUCCUGAUUGUACAGCAUACCUGGACAACCUAGUGAUUCAUUCGACUACCUGGCCUGAUCACGUAGGCACGUUGAGGGCUGUGUUUGCACGCUUGGCCAGUGCAUCGUUAACCCUCCACUUGGCCAAAUGUGAAUUUGGAAAAGCAACUGUAACGUAUUUGGGUAAGGAGGUGGGAAGAGGUCGGGUUCGCACCGUAACUGCCAAAAUAGCCGGUUUCCUGCCCCUGCUACUCUGCGUGAAUUGCGCAGGUUGUUGGGCAUGACUGGGUAUUAUCGAACCUUUUGCAAGAAUUUCUCCUGUCGUAGCCCCACUGACCCAAUUACUCAGUCCUUCUGUAUCAUUUAAGUGGACUGAUGAGUGUCAGUCUGCUUCUGAGUCUGUGAUAGACCUAUUAUGCACUUCUCCGGUUCUUUCUGCCCCUGAUUUUGAAAACCAUUUAAGUUAGAGGUGGGUGUGGGUGCUGUACUGUUGCAGGAACAUGAUGGAGUAGAUCACCCAGUUUGUUACUACUCAAAAAAAUUCAACAGUUGCCAGUCCCGUUACUCUACCAUAGAACAGGAGACUCUGGCGCUGUUGUUUGCAUUACAGUUUUUUGCAAACUUGUUUUUGUCAAGUUUAUGUUGGCUCGAGUGUAUUGCCUGUUGUGGUAUAUACUGACCACAAUCCUUUAGUUUUUUUGGGCCGCAUGUACAACCACAACCAACGUCUCAUGCGUUGGCCGUUGGUUAUAGAAAGUUAUAAUUUAGAGAUAUGACACAUAAAGGGGUCAGAAAAUGUGGUUGCUGAUGCUCUGUCUCGUUUUUAAAUGGAAAGGCCUGUGAUCUUUUUGUGUUCGAUUACUUCUCUAACUUUUGUUGGGACCACUGUAAAAGUUACUUACAGACCAUGUCGUAAUCCCACGACAUGUCCCAUGUUUUGUUCUGUGCCUUUAACUGUGCCCCUUUCUCGGUUCACAGGUGUGCGGUGCUGGGUGGCUGUUGGCGAGGAGGCGUGGCCGGUGAAGACCUGGGGAGUAAUCGGCUAACGAGCUGAUUGCCUGUAGAAACCAGCCUGGUUGCUGCAGAGGAAAAAGAGAAAGGAGGGAGAGGCCUUGUGUUUUGUAUGGCCUGUCAAAGACGUUUUGUGUUGAAUCCUGCCGGGUGAGAUCCCGUUGUGCUCUACCGGAGUUCUGGAGAAGGUGCAGGUAGUUCUGCCCAUGUGUGUACAUUUGCAUCACGUAGGUAAAUCUUUGUUACACACACUGUGUUAGCUGGGCGGGGGUCACCCCUGUAGUUUUGGCCAUAGAGAGGUAAGCUGGUUAGGGAUAGACUGUGUUAGGCAGACUGUGUAGAAGAAAAGGGACCUUUUGUUUAUUUCAUUACUUCUCCCCCCUUCCUUGGUUGUGUGUGUACGUCGGCUGCUGGUUACACUGGGUGCGCAAGCACAGGCGUUUAAUUUCCCACCUCCAACGAACGUAACAAUCCUCCACUCGAGAAAUUCGUGUGAGGCCUUAAAGCUUUGUCACUUUUAGUGAUGGACGUUCGGAUCAUUUUACUGACUCUGUUCUUUCAAUCUCUAUCAGUAAAAUUGUUGCGUCCCCCACCUCUGGUGUUUGUUGCUACACGUGUUUGGGUGCAGGCUGUGUCCUGAUUACAGAUGAGCCGCACCUGAGCAGAACCUGUGUUGGCGCUACAAAGGCUUCCUGGACCGUUCUCGGGGGGGUGGGGGGGGCACACAGAUCCCUCAGAGUGCACAACGGUGCUGCUGCUGCCAAGAUCGCCGUCCACCCGGCAGUGAAAAUGUUCCGCAUUUGUAUUAUUUAGUUUGUUAAGAUACCAUUUAAUAUCCAUUUUGUUAAAUAAAAUACCCCUAGAUUAUUUUGAUACACGUAACAAAACAGAACAUCUUUUUUCCAUUCAUUCAUUUCAACGGGGGGGGGGGGGGGGGGGCUAAAUGCGUCCACUGCCAACACGUAGCAUAUUCUCAUGUAGGUUAGUGCAUGUAAACCAGUAGAUACUAAUUCAUAAGGAAAUUCUUGCAUUAAAAUAAUGUAUCAUGACAGUUUGGAUGAUUUGAACCGCUCAUUUAUUAUCACACUUUCUUCUGACUAUCAGUCUAUAACCAUCCCGAUGCGCCGCCACGAGAAAAUGAACAAAUUUUGUUCUGAAAGACUCGUUACUCCGAGUCCUUCAGAACGGACGAUGUCACUUUAUCUGAUGUCUUAUUGAAGAAAAGAACCAGUCACAUGUCUUCACCACACUUUCCACCUUCAUCCUUGCGCAACGUUCAGGUGGCGUGUGUGUGUGUCCUGGUUUUCUCUCAGCGGCGUCAAGCUCUCUGUUGCACUCCGACCCCUAAAGGACCCUACCAACCCCCCGGUGACCUCUGACCAUGUUGUGUUCCUGUUCUACAUUGAACAGUCCCGCCGCUCUUUUCCCUCUUCCAGCGGCGAGCUCGCGGGCAGCAGACGCUCUUGCUGGGCUGCCAAACGUGUUGCAGAAAAAUGUGUUUGUGAAACGCUUUCCAGGAAGAGUUGAUCAGUUUAACCUCCAUCGUCCCUGCUGAGUCCUGAGGCUCCAUCACAACAAUCUUCUGUUUUAUUUAAAGAACCUCCAGGAAAACCAACAGAUUGUGUACUGAAUGAUUGCUGAAAUGUUUGUUUGUGAAUGAACAUAAACUUGAAUUAUUUCAAUGGUAAUUAUUGGAAUAUAUUUAUAGGAAACACGUAUUUCUCUACAUUUAGCUCAUUUGACUGCCCUGAUUAAUCUGAAAUCUGAGGGAUCUCUGGUCACCUUCCUCUACAUCUUUAUCUUCACCAGGAGGAAACUGUCUGCUUUUGUUCCUUUGAUGCUCACAUGUUCAUGUGUGUCAGAUGCUUGACAGAUAGGAGAGAUUUUACACUUUAUUGCAAAAUGCAUGACAAUCGAUAAGUAACCACAGCACUCCACCCUUUAAUGCUGAAGGUGAAGUUAAACCUUCUCUGUGGACACACAAACUCUCCUCCAAACUAUCAGGAGACAUCUGACGAUGUCUCCGAGGACGUCUCCGGAUGCCUUCGGAGACGUCCGGUGACAGUUUGCUGCCAGCCUGACGAUAAAGGAGCAGGUCCUGAGGGAUCUGGACCCGGGCCGGGCCUCGUGGCAGCAGAACAGAGGCCUAGCCGGGCAUUAAUAUGGAUGUCCACCAGGCGCCUCUCUGUGCGAGCUGCCACCAGCCGCUCUGUGCCAGCCAAUAGCAGCGCAGAGGCUACCUGCCAAGGUCAUCAAUAAACAUCCUCAGAUGGCUCCUUGUGUCUCCAGCACAGCGGCCUGGAGAGGGUCCACGGGGGGUACUUUCACUGCUCAGAACUUUGCUUGCUUCAGAGACAGCAGCAGAUAAAGUACUUCUGCUACUGAGACAAUCGAUGGAACAUCAAGAAGCUGCCUGUUGAAUUCUCCAUCUGGUCCAUUUGGUGACUUAUGUGUAGAUUAAAUAGGCGGGAUGUGUGUCAGCGUUAAACCCAAAGUGACUCACUCCGCUAACACCUAACGUCACAUUUCAGGGGCUGGAGAGAAAAAAACACAAAUCCUGUAGAAACAUCAGUCCAAAGAGU
ensembl:lncRNA